UUCAAUUCAAUUUAUAAUUCAGACACAAAGCAGAUUCCAGCAUAAAGGCGGCGCCGAAAGGGCGCCGAAGCACAGAUUGCUUCCACAGGUUUGAGGGGUAGAAGGGCCCAGCGGGCCCAUUCAAUAAUGAUCCCUCCGCAGGUUCACCUACGGAGA
rnacentral:misc_RNA from 1 species